GAUGAACGCUAGCUACAGGCUUAACACAUGCAAGUCGAGGGGCAGCGGGAUUGAAGCUUGCUUCAAUCGCCGGCGACCGGCGCACGGGUGAGUAACGCGUAUCCAACCUUCCGUUUACUCAGGGAUAGCCUUUCGAAAGAAAGAUUAAUACCUGAUGGUAUCUUAAUGACACAUGUAAUUAAGAUUAAAGAUUUAUCGGUAAACGAUGGGGAUGCGUUCCAUUAGGUAGUAGGCGGGGUAACGGCCCACCUAGCCAACGAUGGAUAGGGGUUCUGAGAGGAAGGUCCCCCACAUUGGAACUGAGACACGGUCCAAACUCCUACGGGAGGCAGCAGUGAGGAAUAUUGGUCCAAUGGGCGAGAGCCUGAACCAGCCAAGUAGCGUGAAGGAUGACUGCCCUAUGGGUUGUAAACUUCUUUAUACGGGAANAAAGUGAGGCACGUGUGCCUUUUUGUAUGUACCGUAUGAAUAAGGAUCGGCUAACUCCGUG
rnacentral:rRNA from 1 species